AGUGAAUGGAUCAUGACAUGAUAUCUUGUUGAGCUAGUACCGUAGCUGAGAAAAGUAAGUGAAUUAAUAGUGUACUCAUAUAAUCAGAGUUAAAAAUUUUUAUCUUUCUCUUGGAUGUGUAGUUUUAAUAAGAAUUGUACGUCGGAGAUGAAUUAUUCAAUGUUUUUCCAGGUUUAUGAAGAAAUUAUGAAAUCAAGAUAGCAAGUGUUAGCAAAUUAUAGUUGAAAGCAAGAGGAGAAUAUUGGAAUUCUCAAAAUAAUUAUCGUACCUCAGCAAGGGGAUUUUUUUUUAAUCCAUCUUUCAGGCCACUAUUGGUCUAAAAGUACCAAUCGCUUCCAGUAGAGGGGAGUAGAGGGUCAACUCAUUUGAAAAUCCAAUUGAAAAACAAAAAAACCUCCAGUGUCUUAGGGCAAACUUUCAGAACAGCCCUCCUUUGUAUAGUUACCGUAUCUAAUUCUUGCUUAAUUUCUUGACUGAUGCUGCCAGUAGACUUAUUGUAUAAUCUGCUAUAAUGCUUUAACCCACUGAAACAUGGCCAUCAAGGAUCAUUCUAGAACAGUAAAGAGUAGUAAACGUAAGGAUGGUGCAUCCAGCUUCAUGUACACAACUCUGUGAACACUGCUUCAGUCAGCCUUCUUGAGCUUUUCAUUAUUUCAACACAGUCUACAUUCAUCUAAGUCAUUAUGUGCCCCAAUUCAAAAACCACAUUUAACUCACAACGUAGAUAUCUGUAUAACUAUGAGUGACUUCAAAGCCACAUAAAUAAUAGUGUUUUAUCCAUUGCAAGUUUCUACCAUGGAAUAUUGCCAACAGCAGAUAUUAAUUUAUUUACCUAAAAAAUAUGCUCUGCCAAAAAUGAGGCAGAAAAUGAUAUCGUCGUAGAAUAAUACCUAGCCUGUCAGAAAAACUGUCCUAUUUAUAAUACUUACUUCUCUGAUGUUUGUGAUAGCUUUGACUUCUUAAUGCAUUUCUAACACAGAACGAUGUUGGUGAAGUGUAAUUUUGAAUGUAAUAGUCAAUAGGAAAUCAGCUAUUUGAAAUAACUCGUGUAUGCCCGUCUAUAUGGUGUCUUGACUCACUGAGGAAAGGAUCAUAGCUUUGGUAUAAAUCAUGUCCACUCCUGAAUUCUGUUGUGCCCGGGCGUGCCUGCCAAACUAUGGGAUGGCUUACUGAACUAAGUCUGUUGCUAUGGGGGUUGAGGAGCCUCCUGGAAAGGUCAGGGAAAGAAGAGUGAUCCAGUAAGGAAUGGUGUGUAACUCUGAAUAAGGACUGACUUUUUGGUUGAAGAAAAUAAACUACAUGCAGAUCCAAAUGAGUGGGCUUUUACACAGAAAGCACAAACUUAGAAAGUACAAGGCAAACUCCAGCAAAAGACUCCCAAGUGACUCAGCAAGAGCCAUAGUAGCAGCCCAGUCCCGAUGCUCCCAGCUAUCCAGGAAAAUGGCCUUCAGGUUCUCUAAUCAGGGGCUAGUUCCUACUCAACUUGAAUAGCCAGGCAUUCACAGGCUGGGCCACCCUGCCACAGAUAACCUGCCAGCCCUUGAAAUAUGUAGAAAUAAAAGUCAUUUUGGUAUUGCAAGCAAAACACUCAAAUUGAAAUUGCUAAUUUAAAAUCAGGUUGCCCCAUCCAGCUAUAUCUUUAAGGAUUGCUGACUCAACUACUUUGUGGGGCCACCCACUGGGGUGGAGGCCAGCGUUGCCGGUGGUGAAGGAAUUCACCCAAAGCAGAACAAAGGAAAUAGAAAUUUAUUGAAAACACUGCAGGGGAGCAGCAGGCAGGGCAGCAAAGGAGAGACUGUCUACCAGACGCGGUGGUGGGGGGCUGUAGAUGAGGGGGGACGUGAGGAGGUAUGGGAACGUAUAGAAUUUUCCUUCCUUGCUACCUGUGCCCAGGUGUAAGCCGCCCAUUGGUCAGCUAGGGCUUUAUUGCUAUUUUGAGGUGGGUCCCCUGAUGAGGCUGAUGGUCACCGUGGUGGGCCUCUUUACCUUACUCAGGUUUCCAUGGCUCAAGCCUAUUGCCUAAAUAUGGCCUCUACAUAAUUUAGGUGACAGUUUGGUGACACCGAAAAAAAAAAAAAAACUUUGUUAAGAAGUUCCAAUGAGACUUUUUUUCCCCCCAGGGACUCCAUCCAGUCCAAAGAGAAAGGCAAUUUUCAUAACAUCUCUGAGUGCAUUCUUGGGAUCGUCUUUAAGUCCAGAGGAAGGAUACCCAGAUACUAUUGUGGGAGUGUGGAGCAGAGGAAGAUUGAAGGAGCUGUUUCUCUAAAUUCGGAGACUUUAGUGCACUGUCAGCUUGGCCUGUGUAGUUUUUUUGACAGAAUGUGACCUCAAAGGAGACAGAGAUGAUCGGCCUCCUUUCCAAGAGAACACUUUGAAACAUAGGUAUCCCCUCUAUGAGAGGAGGGGGAGCACCCAGUGAGCCACCAGUUGGCUGAAAGAUGCCUUGGGGGUAGAACAAAGAGAGGCAGUAGCAGUCAGGGAGGCUGGAUUUGUUACUGAGUGUAGGUGAGCCACCUGCUGGAAAUGCCCAGAAAUACUGGUAGGGUAGUAGGGACUUCGUUGAGAGACUGGGAGUCCUAUCCUACCUUAGCACUUGAGGCUACGCCUUCACCCCAGCCAUACUUUUCCUAUAAACUGGGAAGAUAGGUUUCAGCUGGGUGUUACACGAAUAUAAUUACGGUGUUUAGCCUCAAUGAAGGUGAAUUAAAAAUAGGAGCUCUUCAGCUUCCUCUUGACAUCUUUGGCAAAAACCAUUUGGAUCAUACUCAUUUGAAUUUAGAGGUUGCAAUACAGAAGUGUUUCCUCGGGGGAUGUUUAUUGACUGCCUGUUAUAUUUUCAGCCCUUGCUGGGUGCCAUAGAAGAUGCAAGAGAAAUAUGACCAUCCCUGUGUAUGGCCAAGUCGGGGAGAUAAUACAGGCACAGAUAACUUAGAAACAAAAUAAUAGUGGGAAUUCGAUAUUUGGUUGAUACUCAUAACUAGUACUUGCAAUUAGUCCAAACUGGCAGACUUGAGGUGAAUAAUUCCCCUAGGCUAACUUGAAAUGAAAAAAACCAAGGGCAGAUAUGCAGCUCUCAUUCAAUCCUUCUUCUAUUUUCUCUGCAUGGACUUUAUGCUUAACUGUCACUUUGCUUAAUCACCAUACAAGUGAAGACGUGCUGGGGUUACAAUAUUUAUGGCGAAUAUUGACUCAACUUCACAGAACCCUGAGACAGACCCUCUGAAAAAUCAGAGCUAACCUGCUAGAAGAUGGAAGAGAACCAAAGAGUCCUACACAGUGGCCUGCUGACCAUCAGAUGACAGAAAUAUGGCAAAGGCACUCGAAUUAACUCUAUUUUAUAGAUGAAGGAAUGGAGGCACAGAUUGCUGGUAGCCUACUCCGGGGCACGUGGAGUGAAUAGGUGCCUUUUUUUCUACCUAUUGGUCCAAAGGUAGAAUACGGCCUCUUGUCCUGGAUUCCCCUGGUGUAUCUCCAUCGCAAAAUGCUGUACUGCAUCACUCAUAUUCCCCAGUUAGGAUUGAGAGGCUUAGUUUCCCAGCUGCUGGGUAUGUUGGUGCUGACAACUCUCAAGUGUUUGUCCUUUCCAAAAAUUUAAUUCAGCUGAAGCUAGCCACCUCCCUGAAGUUCAAGACCUCUUCCUGGGAAUGGCCUGCCUCAAAUGACUGAUCAAUGCAGAGCGAAUAGAACUUCUGAAAGCUCUGCUUCUCUUCUCAGACUAUCAUCUGAUACUUUCUUCUCAGUUCAUGCUGCUAUGUGAGACAAAUGCUCCACAGGAAAAAGCGUAGACCUACUGGGCUCACGUCAAUGAUGUUGUCUUCUCCAUGAUAUCUUGGUCUUCAAGUCUCUCCUCUUAGAUAGUUCUGCAACAUUUUCAAAAGAAAUCUUAAAGCUUUCAAUUCCACUUCGCUUGUUUUCUUUUCAACAACCUGCUUGUAUUCAUUUUUAAUGUUUAGGCAAUUUCUUUCAAGUUUUGUUCUGAUGUACCAAGGUAUAUUCUUAAGGCAGAAUUCCUUUUUAAAGAGUUUUUGAAUAGAACUCUUGUACAUGUAU